GGUUAGGAUUUGCUAUUGGAUUGGUGACUGCCGUGAGCUGAUAACAUAUCAGGUCACUAUGAUCUCCCGUCCCUAUUGAUCGAGGAUGCUUUGGUGGUUCUGCCUUUGCUCGGCCAUCCCAUUGCAGGUUGCCACCAAUGGGAAUACAGCCAGUGGACUGGUUUUGCUUGUCAGCGACCAGAACAAGAACAAGUCAGUUCUAUCUAUACAUAUUCAACUUUGGGGAUGAUUGGAGGCUCUGUGUUCAUAGUUUAUAUGGGUCAUCUUUAUAUCUGGGCCAUGGUAGCUGUGAGAGCUUUUUAACCUACCCAAAAGAUCGAGCGAAGAGAAGCAACUGUCAGGGCUCAGGCUGCUGAAUUGGUAGCUUAUAUGGCAUUCUGAUUAUACUAUUAUUUUGAACCAGAAAAUUGUCAAUGACUACAUAUAUCUUUGUGGAAACAAGUUUCAUCACUUCCUCACAGACACUUCUUCAUGGCAUUCUUAGUCGGGAGCUUGGUAACAGCUUAAACUUCAGAUCAUUUGCUGUAUAGGGUUGUCAGCAGCAUAAUAAAGUGCCUGAAGUUUAUUCGCUAUUUUUCUUUAUAUUGCAGGUAAGGCUCAAUAUAUCUUUCAGUAUGCAAAUAAUUUCCAAUGAUGACGAUUUGUUUAAAGACUUCCAUCUCGUUUUAAGAAUAUUUUUAUCCUAUAAUAUGUGUAAAGAGCUUAUCGAAAUCAGAGUAAUAGACUGUAUCGUACCCAUGACAUUUAAAGCCUGCUUGGUACUGAAUAUUGCAGGGAGAUGCACAGUACAUAUAAAACUAUGUAAGAAAAACUGUUUCUUGCACAUUUAGACGGAUUGUGAUAUAACUUAUAUAUUCCAUUUUACUGUAGUUUAGCAUGCUGUACAAUCCUGCUAUCCAUGGAUGAUUGCGCCUGUUUCUUUCAUGCGGUCCAUUUUCCCUUCAGGAUAUGUUUUGAAAACAUGUUAUCAUGUAGAUUUGUGCAGUCAUGGUCAACUGGUACAGAUAUGUAUAGUUUCAAAAGAACAUUACAGAUAUGUAUAGUUUCAAAAGAACAGUAUGACAACUAAUUAUCGCUGACUUGCAUCUCUCUUUUUGUUGUGUUGAUUGCUUUUGCCAAGUCAUUUUGUCCUUUACUAUAUUUAGUUAUUUACCAAUGCUUAACAAUACCACUUUUGCUUGGCUAUAGUAGAUCUUGCAGGUUGUAUGAUUCCUUUUAUACUUCCAAAUUUUUAUUAGUUACCACUAUAUACUUCCAAAUCUUGUACUGAAUCUGCUCAAUAGUAGAACAGAGUUCAGUUAUCUGAAUCAUAGCAGCACACACAUACACCGCACUUCGUAAUGUCAUUUACUAGGGGUUGCAUUAGGGUAUUUUAUUUCCAUUAUAAACUGAUAAUAAUUAUGAGUUUAGUAAGGUAACAAUAAUCUGGGUUAUAGCAGAACAUUAGGUGUGGUAUGCUUGUAUGAGUAGAAUGUAGAGUUUAUAAAUGAACUAAAAUCUGAGAGCAGGAAGUGGUAGGUUUAAUUUCAGUUAGAAGAAUUGGUGUACUGCAGCAUCAUAUAUUCAGGUAAUCCCUUGCAUUUUUUUGCCAUGUUCAAGCUUUAUACAUCGUUUGUAUAUGCAUAAAGUACGCAACAUAAACUGGAGUUCGUAGUGUCAGGAGUAAGAAGGGUGCAACUAAGUAGUAGCAUGUUACAGGAUAAGAACGGUUGUUUAGUUUAACAAUGCCCUUUAACAGUGUAACUCCAAAGAGGUCGGAUAAAAUGAAUUAUUGAUAUAUCUGAACUCUAGAGUAUAAGAUGCAUCUUCCUACGCUUCCUGAGAUCACGGUUAUCGUACCUAUUUAUUUGAGAUAUGCUAAAUGUUCCUUUGAUAGUAGAUGCAACUUGCAGCUUUUGUGGACGUUCGUUUGUUUGUGGGAAAUUUUAUCUCUUCCCUACAGUCAAAGCUCAUGUGCAAUUUGGAGAGAAAUGCACGCAUGCUAUCGCUGCAUUUGACAAUUCCUUUUAGGUAUCAAGCCAAUAGCGGCUUACGUUUCCUGGUCAUUUUUCUCUUGGAAAUGGAAGUUGUUGCUUCCUAGGUGAGCUGAGGCACGGGAAUGAGUUUGCACCUACUGUUGGAUUCUUCCUUACUACCCACCCGUCUCAGGUGGUCGUUCGUAGAUGGCAUGCUCAAGAGGAACACAUCAUAUUACAUGUGAACACUGAUAUCUUUGAAUGGCCUUACAUGUGGACACAACAGCCUGAACUUAAAUAGUACAAUCUAUAAUUGUAGCUAGCACAUCAACAAACAGCCAUGUGAAAACAUUAGUUUGCUGCCUUUAUUGCAUUUUUUGGAGCCGUAAUUCUUUUAUAGCAUUUCCUUGCCUUUAUUGCUUUGAAAAACACCAUUGAUCAUAAGCUGAUUGCGGCAGCAGGGUCGGAUAUUUAAGCAUACCUAGGAUAUUUAUAUUUUAGUUGGCAAAUAGUUAUGCCAAUUUUGUGAUUUAUCUAUUUCUUUCACCUUUGGUCAUAAGCUGAUUGCGGCAGCAGGCUCGAGCUUGUGUGUUAAUCAAAAAAUUAAUUAAUCCGCUACCGGUGAGAAAUGUCUCCGGUGUGGUGCAAGUUAAUAUAUUCUGUACACAUAAAUAGUUAACAUAGUCUGUACCUGCCUCUUGGGUGAUUUUGUGAGUUGUGAUAGAUUGCUCCUGAUGAUGCCUCCUCUACAAAUUUCUAGGAUUCAAGGUCCCCUGACCUUGGCCAAGGACUAUGACAUGGAGUGACCUAUUAAUGUUGUUGACACAUCUUCUCUACAUUUAUCCUGUAUAAGCUCGUGUGUCAUACUUUAUUUAUAUACACACAUAUACCAUGUGCUUAUGUUGUUAUGAACACUUCUCCAUACAAUUUGAUCUUAGAGUACAUGGCUAUAUCUUGAUUAAAGAAUAUCAAGCACUCCAAUAGUCAUAAUUAAGACGUACAUAUUUAAGUACUCGAGCAUAUGGAGUAUCUCAUUACCUUCGCAGAUGUGAUCUCAAUGUUAUUUCGCUUCCCAUCUUUUUAUUGACAGAGAUGAUAUUUUACAGGUAUAAGGAUUCACUUCGAUUGCAGUUUCCCUACCCGAAGUUCAUCCACGGCUACUGGACUGAUUGUGCACAUCUUAGCUCAGAUCGGCAACUCUACUUGUCAUGUUCUAUAUGGACAUCCUCUACUGGUUCUGUAAAAUAAAUAACAAGUUGAUUUUAUCCAUUAUACAUAAAUUCUAAUGUAAUGGGCAGCUAUUUUCUAUUAGUAUACUUGAAAUGAUAUUGAGGUAUGCUCCCCUGGUUUAAUCCAUGUAGACUGACACUUGAGCUUUGAUCAUGGAUGCAUGAAUAUGACAUCAGUCCAAAUAUUCCAGACAUAAAAUGUUCUUGUGAGAGUGUUGUCUCCCUACUUUUAUGGCAGAGAAUGGCGUGGCACCGAUGAUUGAUGGAGUAGGAUUUAACCAAGCUUGGUGUUACCAAGCUACACCCGUUAUCACCUGAAGUUAUCUCACGCCAAGCGAGGAUCAACAUUGGAGUUAAAGGUCAUAGUGGAAACGCCGCUUGGAUUGCUUCUGGACUUCCACAGUGACACUAGGAUGUUCCAAGGCCAACUUGAGCUCCUCCUUGUGAUCCGUGUGUUGCAACAUGCAAGAAAAUCAAAUGAAGGAGUGUGGACAAAGACAAAGUUAUAUAUCAAGCAAAUUAGAUGAAGGCGUGUGGACAAAGUUAUAUAUCUAAUGGUCGACCAUGUAGUUUACUACUAUGGCCUGCUUUUGGUUUCUAUCAUACCAAACCUUGCUUAGGUUAGCGAAAACGGGAUUACGUAGGAGUUGAGGUUUGGCAAGUAGCAUCUCUUUGAUUAAGUCCAAACCAUAAUUGAGAGGCAUUGCAGUCGUGGGUCAGUUCAUAGAUAAUGCUAUGUUUUAUAUGGAAUACUUCAAUGGUUUUAUUACCGGGUUGGAUAUGAGUGCACCCGGAUACGGACAAGAGACCAACAAUAACAAAUAAUUGAUCAGGCUUUGUAAAAGCGGCAGGGAUCAAAUAGUAUCAUAUGUGCCAUUGCCUUCGAAAUUGAAAAGGGGAGACUGUCGCUCACUGUCCAUCAGCUUUAGAAUCGCAAGUGCAUCAUUGUUUACACAUAAAUCGUUCUAUACAAUGUAUCUAACGGAUUGACGGCAUCAGGUUAAUGUGACAUGUCGCCUAUGAAGUUGAUCGACAAGGCAGCUGAAUGAAGCAACUUAUUAGUAUGUCUAAUAGCUAUGGCUAUGUAGUUUUUUACCUUUUUAUGUGUUCCUGCUCUUGGUACUUCCUCUCUCAUGUUCGUGAUCUUAGUACCAAACUUAAUUUCAAGUGGUUAGUUUUUGUGGUCU